rnacentral:rRNA from 1 species
UACAGAGGUCUCAAGGCGUUGUUCGGAUUCAUUGGGCGUAAAGGGUGCGUAGGCGGCGCGGUAAGUCGGGUGUGAAAUCUUGGAGCUUAACUCCGAAACUGCAUUCGAUACUGCCGUGCUUGAGGACUGGAGAGGAGACUGGAAGUUUACGGUGUAGCGGUGAAAUGCGUAGAUAUCGUAAGGAAGACCAGUGGCGAAGGCGGGUCUCUGGGCCACUACUGACGCUGAGAAGCGAAAGCAUGGGGAGCGAACAGG